UACGUAGGGGGCAAGCGUUGUCCGGAUUUAUUGGGCGUAAAGAGCUCGUAGGCGGUUCAGUCAGUCGGGUGUGAAAUCUCCGGGCUCAACUCGGAGGGGCCACCCGAUACUGCUGUGACUCGAGUCCGGUAGGGGAGUGGGGAAUUCCUGGUGUAGCGGUGAAAUGCGCAGAUAUCAGGAGGAACACCGGUGGCGAAGGCGCCACUCUGGGCCGUACCUGACGCUGAGGCGCGAAAGCGUGGGGAGCAAACAGG
rnacentral:rRNA from 1 species